GAUGAACGCUAGCGGGAGGCCUAACACAUGCCAGCCGAGCGGUAUUGUUUCUUCGGAAAUGAGAGAGCGGCGUACGGGUGCGUAACACGUGUGCAACCUGCCUUUAUCUGGGGGAUAGCCUUUCGAAAGGAAGAUUAAUACUCCAUAAUAUAUUGAACGGCAUCGUUUAAUAUUGAAAGCUCCGGCGGAUAGAGAUGGGCACGCGCAAGAUUAGCUAGUUGGUGAGGUAACGGCUCACCAAGGCGAUGAUCUUUAGGGGGCCUGAGAGGGCGGUCCCCCACACUGGUACUGAGACACGGACCAGACUCCUACGGGAGGCAGCAGUGAGGAAUAUUGGUCAAUGGGUGCAAGCCUGAACCAGCCAUCCCGCGUGAAGGACGACUGCCCUAUGGGUUGUAAACUUCUUUUGUAUAGGGAUAAACCUACCCUCGAGAGGGUAGCUGAAGGUACUAUACGAAUAAGCACCGGCUAACUCCGUG
rnacentral:rRNA from 1 species